rnacentral:rRNA from 1 species
AGAGUUUGAUCAUGGCUCAGGACUAACGCUGGCGGCGUGCCUAACACAUGCAAGUCGAACGCAUCUGUGCUUCGGUACAGAUGAGUGGCGAACGGGUGAGUAACACGUGAGCAACUCCCCUUGGGGAGGGGGAUAACCAUCUGAAAAGGUGGCUAAUACCCCAUAUUCUCCUUUUUUGCCAAAGAAAGGAGGAAAGAUGGCGUAAGCUAUCACCCCGAGAGAGGCUCGCGUCCCAUCAGCUAGUUGGUAGGGUAAUGGCCUACCAAGGCUAUGACGGGUAGCUGGUCUGAGAGGAUGGUCAGCCACACUGGGACUGAGACACGGCCCAGACUCCUACGGGAGGCAGCAGUGAGGAAUCUUGGGCAAUGGGCGAAAGCCUGACCCAGCGACGCCGCGUGGAGGAAGAAGGCCUUCGGGUCGUAAACUCCUGUUCGGGGAGAAGAACAGGAGAGGAGUGAAUAACUUCUCUCCCUGACGGUAUCCCCGGAGAAAGCUCCGGCUAAUUACGUGCCAGCAGCCGCGGUAAUACGUAAGGAGCGAGCGUUGUCCGGAUUUACUGGGCGUAAAGAGCUCGUAGGUGGUUUCUUAGGUCUCACGUGAAAUUCCCUGGCUCAACUGGGGAGGGUCGUGGGAAACCGAGAAGCUAGAGGGCAGGAGAGGAGAGUGGAAUUCCCGGUGUAGCGGUGAAAUGCGUAGAGAUCGGGAGGAACACCAGUGGUGAAGACGGCUCUCUGGACUGUCCCUGACACUGAGGAGCGAAAGCCAGGGGAGCAAACCGGAUUAGAUACCCGGGUAGUCCUGGCUGUAAACGAUGGGUACUAGGUGGUGGGGGGGUUCGACCCCCUCCGUGCCGCAGUUAACGCAUUAAGUACCCCGCCUGGGGAGUACGGGCCGCAAGGUUGAAACUUAAAUGAAUUGACGG